CUUGUUGUGGUAGUUUUUCUUCUUUUAAAUAUAGUCUCCUCCUUUACUGUGUUGAUUCCCUUUAUGUAUUUAAAUGUUUAUAUCAUAUCCCCCCGUCUCGUCUUUCCUCCAAGCUAUACAUGUUAAGAUCCUUUAACCUUUCCUGGUAAGUUUUAUCCCGCAAUCCAUGAACCAGUUUAGUAGCCCUUCUCUGAACUCUCUCUAAGGUAUCAAUAUCCUUCUGAAGAUACGGUCUCCAGUACUGUGUACAAUACUCCAAGUGAGGUCUCACCAGUGUUCUGUACAAUGGCAUGAGCACUUCCCUCUUUCUACUGCUAAUACCUCUCCCUAUACAACCAAGCAUUCUGCUAGCAUUUCCUGCUGCUCUUUAACAUUGUCUGUCUACCUUUAAAGGACCACUCUAGGCACCCAGACAACUUCAGCUUAAUGAAGUGGUCUGGGUGCCAGGUCCUUCUAGGGUUAACCCAUUUUUUUUAUAAACAUAGCAGUUUCAGAGAAACUGCUAUGUUUAUCAAUGGGUUAAGCCUUCCUCCAAAUCCUCUAGUGCCUGUCUCAUU